CUCACUUGGAGUAUUGUACACAGUACUGGAGACCGUAUCUUCAGAAGGAUAUUGAUACCUUAGAGAGGGUUCAGAGAAGGGCUACUAAACUGGUUCAUGGAUUGCGAGAUAAAACUUACCAGGAAAGGUUAAAGGAUCUUAACAUGUAUAGCUUGGAGGAAAGACGAGACAGGGGGGAUAUGAUAGAAACAUUUAAAUAUAUAAAGGGAAUCAACACAGUAAAGGAUGAGACUAUAUUUAAAAGAAGAAAAACUACCACAACAAGAGGACAUAGUCUUAAAUUAGAGGGACAAAGGUUUAAAAAUAAUAUCAGGAAGUAUUACUUUACUGAGAGGGUAGUGGAUGCAUGGAAUAGCCUUCCAGCUGAAGUGGUAGAUGUUAACACAGUAAAGGAGUCUAAGCAUGCGUGGGAUAGGCAUAAGGCUAUCCUAACUAUAAGAUAAGGCUAGGGACUAAUGAAAGUAUUUAGAAAAUUGGGCAGACUAG